UACGGGAGGCAGCAGUGAGGAAUAUUGGACAAUGGAGGCAACUCUGGUCCAGCCAUGCCGCGUGUAGGAAGACUGCCCUAUGGGUUGUAAACUACUUUUAUAUGGGAAGAAUAAGGUCUACGUGUAGACUGAUGACGGUACCAUAAGAAUAAGCACCGGCUAACUCCGUGCCAGCAGCCGCGGUAAU
rnacentral:rRNA from 1 species